CAGCCGCCGCGGGAAUACGGAGGGUGCAUGCGUUAUCCGGAUUUAUUGGGUUUAAAGGGUCCGUAGGCGGAUCUGUAAGUCAGUGGUGAAAUCUCACAGCUUAACUGUGAAACUGCCAUUGAUACUGCAGGUCUUGAGUAAAUUUGAAGUGGCUGGAAUAAGUAGUGUAGCGGUGAAAUGCAUAGAUAUUACUUAGAACACCAAUUGCGAAGGCAGGUCACUAAGAUUUAACUGACGCUGAUGGACGAAAGCGUGGGGAGCGAACAGGAUUAGAUACCCCAGUAGUCCCUGUCUCUUAUAC
rnacentral:rRNA from 1 species